UGUUAGCCCGACUUUUCCACAGGCCUUU
rnacentral:piRNA from 1 species